rnacentral:lncRNA from 1 species
GAGCCCUAGGUUACAACUAUGCAAGAAAUCACCAAAUUGAUUCAUGAUUUAAGCAUCAUUCAUCUAGAUAGCAUGCUAGGAUUCCUCUAAAUCCAUUUAUAAGCUAUUUAACCCAACCAUUAAGGAUCUACCAUUAAUGGGCAAGGAGCUUACCUCCAAGAGCUUGCUCCAAAAUGAAGAAGAAGAUGAUGGUGUUGAUGAUUCCUCCAAGCUUCUUCUCCACCAAUUUCACCUCUUUUGGGAGAGAUUUAGAGAGAGAAAGAGAGGGUUUUCUCUUCUCCUUCCAUGCGUGCGUGGGUGUGUGUCGUGGGUGUGCACGGGUUGGGGCUGCACGGUUGAGGGAGAAGAAGCAUUUGCUUCUUUUACAACUUAACCCCUCAACUAUACACUAUUCACAUUAUGGGCAGCUUGAAAUCUGAUAAAUUUCGUUGGAGUCCUUCUGAAUGUCCGAUUGAGCUCAAAUUUGACAGGCAUGUUCGGUUUUACUUAAUAAGUCCAAAGAAAUUUUAAUAUUUCAGUUUCGACCCCGUUUGGUCACUGAAAACUGUACCGAACUGUAAUCUUUAUCAGAUAGCUGUCGGAUUUUAUUUUCCAUCUUCCGGGUGUCAGAAAAAUAUGAAAUUUUAAAUCUAGCCUCAUAAAAAUAAUUCUGACUUAUCCUCCAAUUUUCAUAAUUUUCUGAGACUGUGCAUUUUCUGCUAAUUUAUCUGUCCUAUUUCCAACAGAAAAUUCUAAAUCUCCUGUUUUCGCUCCGAUUUCAGCACAGGUCAUUCCCAACCUAUAUUUCACUUUUCUAAAUCCAAUAAAAAUAGUAUCUCAUACUAUUUUUAUUUAUUUUCAUUUUUAUAUUUAAAAUCCGGUAUGUUACAUUCCACCGCAACCUCACCGGAACCAUUUAAACGUAUACCGUAACUUCAUAAUUUUAUAAGUUCGGUAUGUUACACAAUUGGUGAAUUUAUAGGUCGACAUCCAAGCAUACCUCUUUCCUGGAGUAGAUCUAAAACAUAUUUUCAUUGUGAUAUGAAUAUACCCUUAUCUGAUCUUGCCACUUCAAUACCAAGAAAAUAUCGCAACUUUCCUAGGUCUUUUAUUUCAAAGUUUUUUGCGAGAUAAUCUCUAAGCUUGCUUAUUUCCUCUGAAUUGUUUCCUGUUACCACUAUGUCAUCAACAUAAACAAGUAGGAUAGUAAUUUUUCCAUUACACCCUUUUAUGAACAUAGUGUGAUCUGCAUUGCUCUGUUUAUACUCAAACUCCAACAGCGCCUUACUAAAUUUGUCAAAUCAAGCUCUUGGUGAUUGUUUCAAGCCGUAUAAAGCUUUUCUUAGCUUGCACACUUUUCCAACUGUCUUUUCUGUGGAGAACCUCGGCAGAAGCUCCAUAUACACCUCUUCUUUAAGGUCUUCGUGUAAGAAAGCAUUCUUCACAUCAAAUUGUUGUAAGUCCCAACCUAAGUUGGUAGCACAUGACAAGAGAAUGCGAAUAGAGUUCAAUUUUGCCACAGGAGCGAAGGUUUCCUGAUAAUCAAUUCCGUAAGUUUGCGUAAAUCCUUUUGCAACAAGUUUGGCUUUGUAUCUCUCAAUUGAUCCAUCUACUUUAAACUUCACUGAAAAAGCCCAUACUAUUUUUUUUCCAGCAGGUAGGUUGACAAGCUCCCAAGUUCUAUUUUUUUCCAAAGCCUUCAUCACCUCAAGCAUCGCUUCCUUCCAUUUGGGAUCUACAAUUGCCUCCUUCCAAUUUUGUGGAACAUAAACAGAAGAUAAAAGAUGACAAAAAAACUCUAUAUGAAGGAGGCAAUGAAGCAUAUGAAAUAAAAUCAGAGAUUGGAUGUUUAGAACGAUUUCUAACACCUUUUCUAAGAGCAAUAGGAACAUUGAGAUCAUCAGGAAUAGAGUUGAUAGGAUGCACGUUUGUUAAAGACUUACAGUGGUUUUGAAGUUGAGAAGAAGGAACUAGAUUCGGAGAUAACUCUUGGCUAGAUGGAGAGUGCAAGAUGACUUUAUUUCUCCUCUUCCUUGUGUACACUUGCCAUUCGCCAACAUUCGUCUCCUCAGCAUGUUGUCGUACUUUCUCCCCCUCAACUCUAUCCUCCCUCUUAACUCUAUCUUAUCUUUUUCUUUGUUCCUUUCAUUGUCUUGCAAUUCUUGCAGCUGUUCAAAUUCCUCCUCCGCAUUAUCUUUCUUAUUUUCCUCUUCAACUUGCUGAGACUCAUCAUCUUUCUCUUUCUCCUCUUCAGCUUGAGGAAACUUAAACAUGGAAGUCCAUCUUGGCACAUCAGUUGUACAUGUAUUCAUCUGUUCUUUCUCAGAUUGAUUUUCCCCCUCAAAAGAUGGACGUGAAUAGUACGCCUCAUGUUCCCUAAAUGUUACAUCCAUUGUGAUAAACGUCUUCCUUGAAGAUGGAUGAUNACCAUUUCUCUUAUGAUUCUUACGCAAAGUCUUAAUGGAUGUACUAGAACCUUAGAAUGUAGUUUUAUCAACACAAUUGUGGGGUCGUGUUUUACAUCACCUCUCUUUUUUAGCCGCAAAUGAACUCCAACGAGCAAGCAACGAUAAAAGGUACUUACAUGGUUUCUUAAUGACCCCACUACGAUAAAACAGCCGUCGCAUGAACUAAUUAGCUCACGGUGACGCCCGUUAGUUGAAGUUUUGGGGAGAACUUUUUAACAACCCAUGAUGAAUAAUAUGACAGGAAGGCUUUCAUAAACCCACAUAAACAAAACACGUACUAGUGGCUUCCUGUUUACUAUUCGAACUCAUAAGAUAUCACAGUGGAUUUAUCGAACCUUAUUAGAUCAAAAAAUUUUGAUUCUAGUACUAAAUUGGUUCUCUACCAUCUUAUGAAAUAGUUUGAAACAAGAAAACACUUCAUUCUUGUUGUGCAUUAGAUACACCCAAGUUGUACGACUGUAAUCAUCAAUGAAAGUAACAAACCAUCUAUAUCCAGAAAUAGAAGGCACCCUAGUAGGACCCCACACAUCUGAAUGAACAAUUUGAAAAGGAGAAUUGCUUUUAUUAUCACUAAUUGAAUAAGUAACACGCGUAUGCUUUGCAAGCUCACAAGCAUCACAUGUAAGAAGUUCAGGAUUACACUUCUGAAACAACUGAGGAAACAUUUUCUCCAUUAUUUGAAAAGAAGGGUGACCAAGUUGAAUAUGCCAUUGGAAUAUCUCUUGACAAGUCAACAUCACUUCAGUCUGAUGAGCAGAGAAUGAUUCUCAAAUACUCUUUCUGACUCUUCCUCAAGGAGAUAAAGCCCAUCAUGUACUUUAUCAAAGCCAAUCAUUCUUCCCAUCUCCAGAUCCUGAAAAACACAAUGGGAUGGAAAGAAAGUGACUUUACAAUUAAGAUCCCUAGUUAUAGCACUGAUAGAUAAAAGAUUAUUAGGAAAACUAGGAACGUGGAGAACUGAAGACAAGGUUAGAUCAGAAGUGCAAGCUAUAGAACCUUUGCCAGAAAUAGAAGAAAAUGAACCAUCGGCAAUACGAACUUUUUCUUUGCCUGAAGAAGGAAAGUAUGAUAAAAAAUGAUUUGACACACCCGUCAUAUGAUCAGAAGCACCGGAAUCAAUGAUCCAAGGAGAAAUAUUAUUCCUAACUGAAUGAAAAGCACUAAUGGACAUACCUGAAAGUGCAAAAUUAGAUGCAGAGGCAAUUGCAGUUGUAGAGGAACUAGAACUAGAAUCAAGUUUGGACAUCAAUUUUCUAAGUGUUUGCAGAUUUUCCUGAAAGAAGUUGUCGGAUCCUAAUGGAGUUCCCUCUUGAGAAUAAGGCUCCAUCAAUUCGGAUUGAUAUGCUUGCCUUCUUCCAGAUCCUCUCCCUGAUCCAUCUUUUCCUCGUCCUCUAGUAGGCCGUCCAUGAAGUUUCCAGCAUGUCUCGCAAGUGUGUCUUGUCCUCCCACAAUGAUUGCACAUGAGCUAGUCCUUAUCGACCACCACUCCCGGAGCACCUACUUUGCUCUGAUUUCCUGUUACGCUCCUUAAAGAAAAGUUUGUAAGCAAUGCUGAUUUAUCGGGAGUAAUUUGAUGUACCAUCACAUUCCUUUUGCUUUCUUCUUAUUGUAUAUAUGCAUACGCCUCUCGUAGCAAUGGGAAAAGGUCUCUUCCAAGCACUUGAACUCUUCCAAGCACUUGAACCCUGAUUGGAUCAAACUCAGGUUGAAGGCCUGCUAAAAAAUCAUAGAUUCUUUCUUUUUCCAUCAAUUUCUGGAACUUGGUUGUAUCUUCUAGACAUUUAGCAUGAAAAUCUUGAUAGUAGUCUAGCUCUUGCCAUAAACUGCUGAGUUCAGCAAAGUACUGCGCCACGGUCAUUUCCCCUCGCUUAGUCAUGUAUUUUCUUCCUAAUUUCAUACACAAGAGCAUCAUAGCCGACUUUAGAGUAUGUUUGAGCAGCAGCUGUCCAGAUCUUGUAAGCAGAAUCAAUGAACAAGUAACCACGACCAAUCGCUGAUUGCAUAGAAUUUAGAAGCCACGACAUCACAAGGGAAUUCUGACUCCCAUUGGUUUAUGAGAGGAUCCUUAUAUGCUGGCCUCUUCUUUCUACCUGUUAUAUAGUCUUGAAGGCCUCGGGCCUUGAUAAACAACAAACAGGAUUGAGACCAAGCGAGAUAAUUGUGACCAUCAAGGUUUGUAGGACUAAUCUGAAGAGAGGGACUAUCUAUCACCGACGCAACCAUUCUUGGUUCACUUCGAGUGGCAGUGGUCUUGCUUCCACUCACUUCCGAGUCCUCAGACAUAUCUAGGUGGUAGAAUUGCAACUAGCAAGAAUCAAAUCAUGAAGAAAGGUUCUAAUUGGAAUGCAUGCAAAUAGAACUACUCAAACCAUAAGAAUAUGAAUAGUUCUAUAACUGGCGCUAACAAGAGUUAUUAGAACCUCAAUUGGGAUGAUAAUAAUGGUUAUGGGGCAAGGACGAGGCUGAAGAUGAGAAGCUUGCAUCGGUGGAGAAGAGAUAGCAACAGUGCAGCGACCACAAGAAAAUAAAAACAACAGUGGGAUUUGGUGACAGCGGCUAUUGAAGAUGUUGGAUCGUGGAACGAUGGUGGCUAUUAAGAGUGACGGCAGCGAUAUGGGUGAGGCGUAACGGUGGUAGCAACCAAGAACUUGAUCGUGGAAGUCCUGGUUGUGGAGGCCCCGAUCGUGAACAAGAACGCAAUCGGGGCCCUAUCGAGCGUUCCUCUCAUCCUUUUUCUUUUCUUUUUUUUUUUUCAAUGGAGAUCUGGCUCUGAUACCAUGUUGGUAAACAGAGAAAUGAAGGAAAAAGGUAUUAGGGCUUAAUUUCCAUAACCCUAAAACCAAUAUAUAUAUUAUUGACAUUUUACAUAUAAAACCCUGAAAAGAAUAAAAAUUAUUAUACUAGUUAACUGGAACCAUGAUUUGUGAUAGUUAGAAUGUGAAGUUCAUGGAAACAAAUUAUGGCCCAAAUAUGCAUAUUUGGUCCCCUUGCAGUAUGCAUCAAAACUACAUUUAUUAACAAUGAAGGUUUUGUUCUCUCUUUUUCUCUCUCUCUGUCACGCCCCGAACCCGCUAACAAUUUGGUCCGGUUCGGGCGCGUCGAACAGACGCCGGACGGACAGCAUCUCCCUUGCCCGCCCAAGGCUCGACAACAGAAUCAUGUACAUAGAAUUGCUCAGGAAUAAUUCAAUUACCUACAUGAUAAGCACGGAGCACAACUAGUGCUAAAAAGUAAGAGCAAGAUACAAAUAUGCCAUACAAGUAAAUAAAGAGAGAUAAGACAUCUAUUACAUCCAUUCUAUCAUUCUUUUACAUCAAGUUUACAUUUUGUAACUUGCAAAAUGAAUAUACACAUGUUCCUCCAAAAUAUAUAAGCAACUCCCAAAGUAUAAAUACAUCAUAACUCUAGGUACUCGAGGGUACUCUAAUGCAAAAAUGGAAGCUGCUAUCUGUCUAGGGCGCUAUGCCCUUACCACGGUCCUCUGCCGGUGCUCUCUCGCUAGGCCCUGCAACAAAGUGGGGUGAGAACUAUAUAAAUAUAGUUCCCAGUGGGUUCGGCCGCCGACUCCGCCGAUCUCCCCACUAGGUCUAAGCAGGCAUAAGCAGAUAGAUAGAUAUCCAAAACUGUAAAUGAUGCAUAUUGAAAGGAUUGCAAUACUCUACUAUGCCUUGAGAUUCAAGAAUGAACAAGAUAGCCAUGCAUUCGCUAACAUGCUAUAAUACCAACGUCGAGUAUGGAUACAACUCUACAAUGCUCAAUAUGCACAAUAUGCCCAAUAUGCUCAAUUUGCAUAACUCUCUCUUGAGUUUAUUACCCAAUCAUCUGGCUGGCCCAUAGGCGUGCCCUCAACUCACAUCUCAAAUCCGUCUAUGAAGGGGGACUCGAACCAUCCGAGGGACUAUCUGCGGGACCCCACAUAGGCUAUCCCUUGGGACCCCACAUAGACUAUCCUAAUCGAUUCAAGUGCCAAACUCCGGAGCGCACUAUUUGUGCGGAGCGACCGCCACAAGCGCUGAACAGACGUGUGAGUAUAAUCCAAAUCCAUUCCUCGUCUAAUGAGGAGAUCCAGUCGCUAGGACUACUAUGCCACAAGUGUUCUUUAGCACUAAAUUCUAAUGCCACUCGUCAAGUUAUUUACUUGGUAUACAUGUGCCACUCGUCAAGUUGUUUAUUUGGUAUACAUGUCACUUGCCAUAUUGCAAUUAUCCCGACUAUACUAGUCAUAUAUCACUAUACUCAUCCAUGCUAGAUCAAGUUAUGGUUUAACUUAUCUCUAUAGGGUUCUAUGUCACAGAGCUCAUUCUCAUGCAUUCCUAAGCUCACAUGCCAAGCCUACUAUACUGCAUUACCAAGGAAUAUGCAAGAGUAGUAAAGUAACAUCUAAACACCCUACCAUGCAUGAUGCUAUAUAUAGAAUGUAAUCACAUAGAGAUACUUAGAUAUAGGGAGAAGCCCAGUUGCUUCGGGAUGGACACCCCCCACCUUUGUGGUGGUGUCGCGAUGCUAGGUACACUAUCUCGCGCUCCUUGGUCGCCGUUUUUACUCUUCGGGUCAACAUGAAGCCUCGAACACUUGUUUCGGCUAUAACUGCGCACUCGCUCGACGAAUGCUUAUUCCGUCGCUUCCCACGCGUUUAGACAUCUAGCAAUUAGGUUAAUACAUGAUCAAUUUAGAUCAAAAUCCUUCACUCUUAAAAACCCCAAUUUGGAGCCCUAGGUUCCAACCUAAGCAAGAAUCCCCUUCUAGCUUCAAGAUUCAAGCAUAAAGCUUCUAUUUGGCAUCAAAAAGAUCCAAUGGAACCAAUUCUAGAAGAUAAAAAUCCAUCAAGAUGGUUCUACCAUGAAAGCUCUCAUGAGCUUACCUCUAUAGCAAGCUCCAAUGGUGGAGAGGAAGAAGAAGAUGCCAAGGAUCCUUCUCCUAGCUUGCUCCUCCACCAAAUCCUCCUCCUUCUUCACCUUCUAGAGAGAGAGAAAGAGAGUUUAGAGAGAGAGGGAGCUAGGGUUAUGUUUUGGGAGAGAAAUGAGGGAGAUAGUGUUUUCUCUUCUAUACCCCUUCACUCAUGCACAUUUGCACAAAACAACCCCACUUUCCAAGCUAUACACUGCCCCAGCCUGGGCAGUUUUCGGGCACGGGGACCGGUCCCUCUAUGGACAGACCGGUCCCCGAGAGCAGCAUUUUCAGGCAAAGCUCUUCUGCCAGCUUUUACGCGUACGGGGACCGGUCUGUCCCACCAGCGACCGGUCCCCUAGAGCUAAACUCUCAGGACUUGGCCAAAUUUUCUUCCUUCUCACUGGUUGCGCGUACGGGAACCGGUCUGUCCCACCAGGGACCGGUCCCCGAGAGCGGACAUGGUAUGCAGAGAUUUUUCUGCCGCACCCCUGCUUACGAGAACCGGUCCCCCACACCAGGGACCAGUCCCCGAGAGCAGAAAUUUUUUGACUUGCAGAAUUUCACAAUCUUGCUCUCCGAGGUCCGUUGCAAUGCACUUUUCGCAUUAUUAACUUCUUCGGCUUUUCCGAAGCACAUCCACUCGACAAUUAGUCGAUUCUGAACGAAGUCGAACUCUCGGAUUUCAAGAAUUCACUUCCUUACACUCUCUCUCUCGUAUAGACUUAAAUUUAAAUUUAAAUAAAUUUAAACUGGUUUACAUUCAAAUGAAAAAUCCACAUUUGAAUUAGUAAUUCGUUGAUUUUCACUAUUCAAUUUCACCCACAAGUUGAAUUUCAAAAUUUAAAUUAAAUUUAUAAAUCAAACUUAAAUAAAUUUGAACUAAAAUUGUUAAAAUUGACUUCAUAUUUGAUUCAAAAUUGAAUUCAAAUUUGAAUUAGGAUAAAAAAUCGAAAGGCGACUUACCAUCUGCUAAACAUAAGUAAUGAACAGUGGAUAUCCCUUUUAAUUAGCAAAUUUGUCUUGAAUUGCCUUGAAGUUCAAUCUAAGCUAUCAAAUCUAACUAUAGUUUUAUAUUAUUCAAUUGAACAGUCUUGCCUGGCUCGGUCUAUCUCGUAUGCGUCUCCGACUUGGCUGCACAGAUAUGGAUUGUGAGCUAGAUUAGUACUUUAGGGGUGAUCAACUAGGUUGGUAUACUAUCGGUAGCACGGAGGCCUUCAUACUACCAAGUUGUUUUCAGUGAUGUGGCUUCCAAAUCGACGAUCGAUUCUGUUAGACUUAAUCUACACUAUUAAAAGUAUUUGGAAACUAAAUUUCAUAAUUUUUCGACAUCAUUUGGCUAGUGAUCAAAAGGUCUCAAAAUUGACAAUUUUAAUGGUAGAUGUGAUGCGUUUGUGAAUUUAACGGUGUAAAACAAUCCAAAUCUGAUGAAAUUUUUAUAGAAAAUUUUUUUUCACUAUUUAGAGUAAGAUUAGUAUCUCUGAUCUUAAAUUCAAGUCUUUUAUCAUCAUUUUUUAUGAGAUUUUUAUUUUUAGCCGUUCAUUUUUAGACUACUUGUUUGGUAGGAAAAUGAUACCGAAAAAUUAUGAAACUUAGUUUCCAAAUACUUUUAGUAGUGUAAAUCAAGUCUAGCAGAGCCGAUCGUCGACUUGGAAGCCGCAUCAUUGAAAAUAACUUGGUAGCACGGAGGCCUCCGUGCUACCGAUAGUAUACCAGCCUAGCUCUCUAUAUAUAUAUAGAGUUCGGCUACUAUACUUUUAUGAGUAUUGGCUCCCUUAUACUCAUAAGUUUUCGGCCCUUAGAUUUAUUCCAUUGACCAUUUUCACCCGUUAGAUCAUACUAUUCAACCAACUACGCACUCAACCCUAGGGGACCACUAUAAUUCUAAGUAGGGACAACCAUCAUCCUAACCACACAUCCUAUCAAUCAAUGGUUAAAAAUUUAUGAGUACAAAGGGGUCUAUACUCAUAAGAGUAUAAUAGGCAUAUAUAUAUAUAUAUAUAUAUAUAUAUAUAUAUAUAUAUAUAGAGUUCGGCUACUAUACUCUUAUGAGUAGAUCACCCUCGUACUCAUAAGUUGUUUUCGAUGAUAGAGCUUCCGAAUCGAUGAUCCAUACCGUUAAACAUUAUCUAGAGCAUUUAAAACUUCUAGAAAUCAAAUUUCAUAAUUUUUCGACAUCAUUUACUUUACAAUCCAAAGCUCACAAAAUUGACAAUUUUAACGGCCGGUAUGGGAUACUUGCUAGUUUAACGGUGUAAAAGAAUUGGAAUAGGAUGAAUUUUGAUAGAAAAUUCUAUUCACUACCUAGAUUGUAAGGUACCGGACUUCUAAAAUCAUGAAGUUACGGUGUACAUUUGGUUAGUGAGCUAUUAGAAUGGUUCCGGUGAAGUUCGGUGAAGUUCGGGAGCAUUCGGCCGUUUCGGUGCGCUUAGGCGCGGAAACGGAAUCCGAAAGGCUGUGUUGGGCCGUGAACUAAAUUCGGCAUUAGCGUGGAUGUAAAGAUGGUGAAAAUACGCUUGAAAACAUGUUUGGAGAGUCUCGGUUUGAUUUGAGAAGAAUCGGAGGUCAAACGAGCGAAAACGAGUGAAAACGGAGCGAAACCGGACGAAGCUGAAAUUUGGCUAAGUCUGGGCUGAAGGUCCCUCUGGGACCGGUCCCUGGUUGGGAGAAACCGGUCCCAGGCUGGAAAAGACCGGUCCCCGAACGCGAAAAUUGCCCAGUUUGGGCUGUUGUGAGGGAAGCAUUGUUGAGGGUGUUUUCUGCAAUUUUGCACUUAUGAGAGGCUAUAGAUGCAUGGGUUCUCGCUCUCCUCUCAUUUCUCUCAACCCUAACACCUUAAAACUCUCCCUCUCUCUCUAGAAAGAAAAUGAGAAGAAGAAGAGGAAGGAGGAGGAGAUUUUGGUGGCGAUUGAGACCAAGAGAAGAAGUAACAUCAUCUUCUUCUUCUUCUCCACCAUUGGAGCUUGCUAUAGAGGUAAGCUCACUAGAGCUCUCAUGGUAGAUCCUUCUAGUUGGGUUUUUAUCAUCUAGAAUUGGUUCCAUUGGAUCUUUUUGAUGCCAAAUAGAAGCUUUAGGCUCGAAUCUUAGAGCUUGAAGGGGAUUCUUGCACCGGUUGGAACCUAGGGUUCAAAAUGGGGGUUUUGGGAAAUCUAGGGUUUUGAUCUAAAUUGAGUGGUUGUAAACCUGAUUGCUAGGUAUUCGAACGCGUUGGCGAAGUCGGUUCGACGAUUCGUCGAGCCGGUGCGAAGAUAUUGAAGAAACGGACUAUUGAGCUUCGUUUCCGCCUGGAGGGCCGAGACGGCGUCCAUAAAUCGCGGGAUCGAAUUCCGAGCAUCGUAACAAGAAACUGAAGACCUUUAAUUUUCGGAUUGCGAAUCGGAGGUCAUUCGGUGGUCGCGCGUGAAUUGGGUCGAGCCGAGCGGCGUGCGCCGCGGGAGGCCGAUUGCGAGUGACGACGAGCAAUCGGAACGCUAUAAAAGGUGGGUGGUGACCAUCCCGAAGCAGUUGAACUCCUCCCUAUGUCUAAGUAUUAUGGUUGAUCAAUUAUGCAUAUUGAGCAUGAUGCAUUAUAGGGUGCUUAAUUAGUUGUUAUAUAUUCUUGCAUGCUAGAGGUAGUGUUGUAUUACUUGUUUAACACUUGAGCUUGUAUGCAUGAGAUUGGGAUAUAUUGAUUAGAAACCCUAUAAUGAGAUGGUAAAUGUUGACAUGAUCCUUAGUAGUGUAGCAACUUGAGUUUGGCACUUGACUUAGGAUGCAUAAGAAUAGGGGAAUUGUGACCUAGAACCCUAUAGUGGUAAAGUAAGUAAUGAACUUAAUCUUAUGUUGACGAGAACUAAAGAACGAGUGGCAUCUAGAUAAGUAAAUAACUUGACAAGUGGCAUCUAGAUAAGUAAAUAACUUGACGAGUGGCAUCUAGAUAAGUAAAUAACAUGAUGAGUGGCAUCGGACUUAGUGUAGUUGACACUUGGUAUUGAACAUAGGGAUAGGUGAAUUUCCCUAGUUACGGUUUGGUAGAGAACCUAAAGAGUUAUGUUGUUAACCCUAGAUGGUAGGGUAUCCUCAGUGAUGGGGAUUUGAUCGUACUCAUAUGUCUAUUUGAAGCUUGGUGUGGUCGCUCCACACAAGCAGUGCACUCCGGAGUUGUCACACGAUAGGGAUAGCCUUUUUGGGUCCCGAGGGAUAGCCUUUUUGGGUCCCGCAGACGGCCUCGGGUGAGUGAGUAGAUUCUCACCAUGUGUGAGCGGUUCCUCACCUACAAGAUUGAGAGUUGGUUGAGUGAGUAAUUCUCACCAUGUGUGAGCGGUUCCUCACCUACGAGAUUGAGAUUUAGUUGUGGUACCUAUAUUGAGAGUUGGGCGAGUGAGCGGAUCCUCCCCUUUGAGAUUAGGUUGAGGGAUAGCCUUUUUGGGUCCCGCAGAUGGUCUUGGGGUGAGUGAGCGGAUCCUCACCAAUGUGACUGAGAGUAGGUGUGGCACCUAUAGGAUAGCCAUGGGAUUGAGACGUGAGAUUGAAAGCGAGCCUCCGGGCUAGCCGAGUGAUUGGGUAAACUAUUGAACCAGUAUUUUUAUUGAGUAUAGUUGCUUGGUAGUUAGCCUGACGGAUUUACCUUCAUACCGUGAGUGGACAUACUAUUCCUUUACCUAUGAGAUUUGAGCGGGGUAGCCCUGUACCUAGUAGAGUGAGAUGUGAGUCGGGCGAGGAGCGGGGUAGCUCUUUGCCUGUGACCUUCGAGAUAUAAGUUUGGUGAGAUAAGAACAGGGUAGCUCUUCACCUACAGAAUUUGAAGUCUUAGGCAGGGUAGCCUAAUGGAUUGGGUGAUUUAAUGAACCUCAUUGUUGAACAUAAUAGCUAGUUCUUUUACUAUGAGUUGCAUGCAUGCAUGUUUACAGAUUGAGGCAUGGUAGAGUAUUUUCAUAUCUACUUAUGGUUAUCGCUUUUUAAUCAUCUAUCUAUCUGUAUAUCUAUCUAUGCCUGCUUAGACCUAGUGGGGAGAUCGGCGGAGUCGGCGGCCGAACCCACUGGGAACUAUUCGUAGUUCUCACCCCACUUUGUUGCAGGGCCGGGUACUAGCGCGCCGGUCGAGGAUCGUGGUAAGGGCUUAGCGCCCUAGAGUUGGUAGCAUACCUUCCUAUUUUGCAUUAGAGCUACCUCGUAUAUACUUGAGAGUAGAUGAUGUAUAGGUGUGAGGUAUUUUGCGAAAUUGUAAACCUUAAGUUUAUGUUGUAUUUUGGAAGAAUGUAAAGUUAAUCAAAUGUAUUAAAGUUGAAUGGAUGUAAUAGUUUAGUAUCUCUCUUUUAUUCACUUGUAUAUGCUUUACUUGUGAUGCUUGCUUUUUAGUUAAUUAGCACUGGUUGUGCUCUCGCUAUUGUUUGAUUGUGUAUGUAAUCAAGUUGUUUUCCUGGGCACUUGUUGUACACGAUCACGUUGUUUAGCCUUGGGCGGACAGGGGAGGUGCUGUCCGUCCGGCGUCUGUUCGACGCGCCCGAGCCGGACCAAAUUGGUAGCGGGCUUGGGGCGUGACAUAGAUAAAGAUCAAUAACUCCGAUCUUAAAUUGAAGGAUCCGAUCAUCUAUUUUUAGGACGUUGUUCGAUUUUGACCGUUCAUUUUAUGCUCGUUUGAUGGACUUUAUUAUGAUUUCAAAAAAUUACGAAAUUUAUUUUUUAGAAGUUUCAAAUACUCUAGAUCAUAUUUAACGGAGUGGAUCGUCGAUUCGGAAACCCCAUCAUCAAAAACAACUUAUGAGUACGAAGGGUCCAAUACUCAUAAGAGUAUAGUAGCCCUACUCUCUCUCUCUCUCUCUCUCUCUCUCUCUCUCUCUCUAUAUAUAUAUAUAUAUAUAUAUAUAUAUCCUGAGAAGAAGAAUAUGAGAGUCUGGAUCGAGACUCAAGUACAAAAUGGAUGAUCUCAGAGAGACUCAAUUGGUUAACCCUCAUAUAAGAUAAUUUACUCUACAGGUGAUUUAUAUUACUCUGGAUAAUUAACUGAUUUUUGAUGUUACAUAUUCGAUGUGGGUAAUAUAUCACCCUUAGAAAAGUGUCUACACACAAACGAGUACUCUUUCAUAUAGCUAUUCUAAACAUAUUGUGAGUCUAUCAUCCUUGCAUCCAAACAGCCGCUUAAUGUUAAUCCCUCUGAGCUCUGUUUGGAUGUUAGAACAACUUAUCUACCAAUAACUUAUUCAAUAUAGUUCCUUUUAUGUUAUUGCAACCAAGGAGUUCGCUCUUAGUUCUUUCAAAGUCCCGGUACACAUUGUUUUUUAGGAUAAUUUGUCCCAUGUACUCUGUGAUUUAUCGUAUUUUGAAGAAAAUAACUUGAUGUGUGUACUAGAACCAUUGUCGAUAUUGUAAAUUCUUUGCUAUUGUUGAUGUCUAAAUCAUCAACUAUUUGCUAUGAAGAAGCCCUAGAGUAAACAGAAUAGAUGUUUCAUAUUAAGAUGUUCUGGCAUCCUAGCAUAUGCUGGGUCCUUUUAAGUUGGACCCUAUGUAUCAUUUCCCAACAGGUUCUAGAUUAGGUGGCACCAUUAAGCAAGUAAAAGCCGUAGUCCCAGAUUCAUGGUGCAGAAAUGGCAAGUAUGCCAAUGUUUCAAGUGGCUAGGCCAGUAUAGGCUGGGAGUGCUAUUUUGGAAUAUCCUUUACAUUCUAAGAUACAGUUGUUAAGAACGUCUGGAGCAUGUUUGUUUAUCUGUUUUGUUGAGUGAUGAAGUUGUAUGGGACCAGAUAUAUCCAUAGAAAUAAUAUAUUUUGAUGUGUGUUUGUCUCAUUAUGCACCGGCGAAAUGUAUGGAAUAUAUCUUAUUUCAAGUAUUCUAUCUUUUACCACAUUUGUACAUAAUGAUUACCAUCAGUUUUAAAGAAUUAAGUGUUGAUAGAGUCUAGUAUGGUUAUCGCUAUCAUUCUACGUAUUAACGUGGGCUGAACUUUCAGGAAGUGUUUGACAAGGACACUUUCAGCAAUGAUGAUCCGAUGGGCAAUGCAGAGUUUGACAUCCGCCCGUUUGUUGAGGCUGUGAAGAUGAAUUUGCAAGGCAUUCCGAAUGGUACCAUCGUAAAGAAGGUUGUUCCGAACAGGCAGAACUGCUUGGCUGAGGAAAGUGCCAUAUAUUUUUCCGAGGGAAAGGUCAUUCAAGAUCUCGCUCUCAGGCUGAGAAAUGUAGAAUGUGGCGAAGUUGAACUGCAGCUGCAAUGGACCAGCAUACCUGGUUUCAGGAGCUUUUAAGCUUUCUAAUAUAUAAUAAUAUAUGCACGUGUGGUAUGGAGUUUGUUGUGCGAAGACAUGUAACUGCAAUACUGGAAAGCAUGAUAUGUGAGAUUUGGGUGUUCUGCUACUACCGCCUGUAAAUAAAGUUAUGAUUGAAAAUUUAUGUUAACAUCACGCCCGCUACUCUUUUGUGUUUUCUUCUUGAGAAAGCAUUUUUAAGUGUGCUUAGCAUGAAUUCCUCAUGACUAUAAGCGGGAGGAGCAGCAAUUCUAAGGUAGUUCGAUCCAAAAAUUCAGCUGAGUAGAUGUUCCCCAUGUAGUAGUAGGUUCAAAUAUCCAAUGGAAAUGGAUCAGGGCGAUGCUGCGGUUCUUUUUCUAAGGAAUGCGUAGUGAUUGGAAGAUCCACGGUACGGUACCUAUGAUAAAUAAGAUAGACAACUAUCCAAACUGAGUUACACUGAAAGGAAAUAUUUGAAGUUAAAAAUGCCACCAAAUGUUUGUUUGCUGAUCUUUGUUUUUAUGGUCGGCAGAAAUUAGGUGGUUGCAGCAUGAAAUUAGCAACAUUAAUAUUACGUGAUCAAAAGCUAUCUUCUUGGGGCUUCCUUGGUGGGGAUUGGUUCUUGACGUUCUAAACUAAAACCUUUUCAAGGAAACUUGAAAUGCUUCCAUAACAUGAAAUCCGGCAAGCAAUUCAUCGAGUAAAAGAAUAGAUACUGAAUUAAGUGACCAAAGCUAAAAUGGUCUGAAGAAUAAUAAGUAAACGUGAACCCCAGCCCCAAACCCACCUAGGACCACCGCUUGCAUCAGUAACAAUGUCCAAAUGUUAGAACAUUCAUGUGGGUUUAAAUAGCUACAGGGGAUUUGCGAAAACACAAGAUUUGCGUGAUUUCCGACGCGACCUGUGCAUAAAAUGCAACGAUUGAAAUCAUAAUUUUUAGCCAGUAAUAUUUUUUAAUUUAAGUUACAUGGCUGCUGUUCUGAAUUUGGUCGCUAUAUUCUUCCUGUAUGUCUUGGUGGCGCAACACAAAACUUAAUCAAACUAGCUAAGGACCUAUUUGGAUACACUAUAAAACGUAGCGUAGUUAAACUAUGCUAUAUCUAUCGAAAAAAAGAAAGAGGAGGAGGAAAAUAAAAGGAAAGAAAGAGAAGAAGAACAUAGUUGAGAAAAAGAAAGAGAAGAAGAGGAAGAUAGAAAGAAAAAAGAAGAGGUUAUAGAAGAAAUGGGUGUAGACUUUUCUUGUCAAACCCUCAAUCGAAGCUUCCACUUCGGCUCUUAUGCAAGCAUCCGAGUCGACAGAUCUAUUGGCCAUUUCUCUUCAAAACUUGACCACUUCCAACCCAAAAUCUCAUGAGGAGGAAGAUUUUCCCACCAUUACUUCGGCUGAAACUCAAUAGAAGUUUGACGAAUGUUUAAGAUUAUACAGUAGUGGUCUUCCGACUUUGGCUUGAAACUUGGAGCAAUGUGAUUGGCUUGGAGCACUCCUAGAUCUCCUCGAUCAGCCUGAUCUCUCCUCAGCAGGUAAGUGUUUUGCAGAGAGUUUAUCUUCUCAGUUUUAUUCCUUCUUAAUACGACAACAGACAUUUUCUGCCGACUAUUUAGCUUUAUAUCAUCACUUCUCACGAGUCGGUCAUUUCAAGAUGAAAAUCCCUGAAGUAACAGCUCCAAUCUCCACCCUGAGUAAUCAAGACAUUUCUCUAAGAGAUUAAGAAUCGGCGCUUCAGCAACGCAUUAUCAAUCUUAAAGAAGAACUUGCUGCAACUGAAACAGUCUUGGCCUAGAUAUCCGAGCAAUGUGCCAUUGUGUAGGCUUAACUAAAGGCCAAAAAAGAUGAAGGGGUGUCGCUACGCGACCAACUCUCCCACCUUUACAAACUCCACCCUAUGAUGAAGCAGAGAAAGUGAGCAGCCGAUCUUGCUCAAUCUAAUCUGGAAACUGAAUGGAUUCAACUUAAAGACUUAAUACUUUGAUUUUCCUUGGUUUUCCAUUCUCAAAUUGGCUGUAAUAUAUUUUAACAUUUUGUACUUAUCUUGUUUUGAAUUUUAUUCAUUUUCCCAUAUGGAUGGGUAGUACUUUUGUAAAUAUUUUCCAUUGAUUGGCCUGUCAUUUUCUGACCCGCCUAAUAUCUUUCCGAAAUAUGCAUUGCCUCUUAUAACUUUAUAUAUCUGGAAUGGUCUUUCCCAAUUUGGAGACAAUUUCCCAUUCACUCGGUCUUUCCGACCGAUUGGAAGUAUUAACCUUAAGACCAAAUCUCCAACAGAAAAAGACUUAGCCUUAAUUGUUUUAUUAUAUGCAUUGUUUACUCAGCUCUGAUAAACUUGCAAAAUGAUCAAGCGCUAACAGUCGAACUUCAUUUACUUUCAUCUAACUUCUCCUUCAUUAAAAUUUCAUAUUCUUUUGCCAUCAACUCUUUUUGUCCUUCGACUCUUAAAGAAGGAAUCAUGAUUUCGGUAGGUACUAUAGCUUUGUGACCAUAGACCAAUCGAAAUGGUGUAAACCUUGUCGCUGUUUUGACAGUGUUUCAGCACUCCCACAACACCUCUGAGAGCUUCUCGCUCCACUUCCUUGGAUGUUUUCCAAUGUGCCGUUUCAUAAGAUUUAUAAUAACUUUAUUCACUACCUCGGCCUGUCUAUUGGCCUGACCGUAAUAAGGAGAAGAAUGAAGCAACUUGAUUUUUCUUGAUUCUACAAACCGUGAGAUGUGAACAUCAUUUCUUGAUCGGUUGUAAUCAUUUCGAUGAUUUUGAAAUAGUGAAUGAUGGAGUCUUCCGCAAAGUCUAUGAUACCUUCCUGAGUGACCAGUCUUGUAGGUGUCACGCCCCGCGCCCCGAGGCCGCUACCAAUUUGGCACGGUUCGGGCGCGGCGGGCGGACCGCCGAACGGACAGAGUCUCCCCUGUCCGCCCAAGGCUAAACAACGAGAUCAUGUACAACAAGUCGCCAGGAAAUCAACUUGAAUACAUACAUGAUCAUGCAACAACAGCGAGAGCACAAACAGUGCUGAACAUUACAAGAGCAAGCGUCACAAGUAGAAGACAUACAAGUGAAACAAAAGAGAGAUACUUAACUAUUCUAUUACAACCAUUCAGCUCGAUACAUUUAAUUACAACUUGCAUUCUUUUCCAAACUAUGAAUAUAAGCUUACAUUCUUCAAAAGAUAAACAUUAGUUUACAUUUAUCUCAAAAUACCUCACAUCCUAUACAUCAUCUACUCUCAAUACAUGUAUAGGGUAACUCUAAUGCAACAUAGGAAAGUAAACUAUCAAAUAGCACUAGGGCGCUAAGCCCAUAACGAGAUCCUCUGCCGAUCCGCUCUCGUGUGUACCUGUACCCCAAAACCACACGGGGUGAGAACUAUAUAAAUAUAGUUCCCAGUGGGUUCGGCCGCCGACUCCGCCGAUCUUCCCACUAGGUCCAACCUGGCACAGAUAGAUAGAUAGGAAGAUAUAUGGAAAUACUACUACUAUAUCUAUUAUGCCAUCAAAUGCAAAGUAUGCAUGGAACAUCAUCUAGCAACAAUCUACUAUCAUGCUAAUAUGCCUCAACAGUGAAAUAAAUACAACAACAACAUAGUUAUGCAAUGCACUAUGUCUAAUCAAGGUAUGAAUGCAAUACUCUUAUGCUAUUCAUGUUAUUACCCAAUCCGCUAGGCUAACUUGCCUAAGAUCUCAAAUCUAGUAGGUGAAGAGCUACCUCACUCUUGUCUCACUCGACUCAUAUCUCAAAGGUCUGACCCAAUCUCGUGAGUCCCAGGCAAAGAGCUACCCCGCCCCUCGCCCGACUCACAUCUCAAGGUCCUAGACAAAGGCUACCCCGCACUUUGCCCGACUCACAUCUCGACCUACUAAGUACAGGGCUACUCCACUCAAAUCUCAUAGGUGAACAACAGCAACAACUAUGAAAGCAAGCUAUCAUGAACAACAAUAAUGAGUAUGACUCAAUAGGUACUCAAAUCUCAUAGGUGAAGGAAUAGUAUAUCAUGAAGGCAUGAGCAAUAAGUAAGCUACUAUGAACACUAGUAAGCUACUAUGAACAACAACAACAACUAUGGAAGCAAGCUAUCAUGAACAACAAUAAUGAGUAUGACUCAAUAGGUAACCAAAUCUCGUGGUGAACACAAGGUUCACAAGCAAGGCUCACAUAUCAAUCUCCUAGAGAUGCCUAGCUGGUCGAUCCCCGAGUACGCCUGCGGAUAACAAGCGGCUAUCCGAGCAGCAAGCAGGGCUGCCUCUCUAGUGACCAAACUCCGGAGCGCACAACCUGAGGGGAGCGACCCCACCAAGCGCAGACAGGCAAUGUGAGCGUGAUCAUCUCACGAGCAACAGCAACCUACCCUCUAAGGGUAAUCUCAUCAUGGAAUCAAGGUGUUCUUGUACCCAAUCUCAUAGUGUUUCAACUACACUAAGGUUCUCAUGUCAAGGUUAUCAACAAUCAUAUGCCACUCAUCAUAGUUUUCUAAACUAGAUGCCACUCGACAUUUAGACUCAUUUCAACACUAGUUACAUCAUACUAGUUCUUUAGCAACAUAAGCAUUAAUCACCUCACAUAGGGUCUAGGUCUUUAUCAUAAAGUUUUCAUCAUAUAAUCAUCAUGCAUACUAGAUCAUGGAUCAAUCAUCAAGAUGUAUAGCUACUAGCAUGCAAAUAUGAGCAAUGACCACAAUCAUUUAGCAUCUAAAUGCAAUAAAUACGAUAUGCAACUUGAUCGAUUAAUGUACUCAACUAAGGUUUAAUCUACAUUAAUCAUGCCCUUAUAGGGUUUCACCACACUAAGUCCCAAUCUCAUGCAUACUAGGUACAAGUAUUAAUCAAGUAACACUACAUCUCUCAUAGAUGCCAUGACAUUAACAAUUGCCAACUAGUACCUAUAAUGCAAUAUCCCAAUAUGCAACUUGAUCAAUGUUAACUAGAGUUUUCUAGUACAACAACAAAAUCCAUUACUAGUUCAAGUCAUAUGUGUUUUUAGCACAAUAAGUUCAAUUGCCAUUGUAAACUAAUGUCUUUAAACACAUACACUAUGUCUAUUCUCUUCAUUUAGCAUCAUAGUUUACCAAUUGUCAUUUAUAAUCCUUAUGUCCAUUACAUCAUAAUAUCCAUAUCAUAGUACUAUAUUGAUCAUAAAAUAUCAUAUAAGGAUUAGGAAUGCAUGUAUUGUCAUUCUAUAAUGCAUAGCAACAUACAAUAUGCUACAUGUGAACGGAUAAGCACUAAGACAUAGAAGAAGCCGAUGACUUCGGGAUGGCACUCCCCACCUUUUACAGCGUUCGAUUGCUUGUCGUCACGUGCAAUCGGCCUCCCGCGGCGCACGCCGUCGGGUCUCGACCCAAUCCGCGCGCGACCACCAAACGACUCUCCGAUCCGUAAUCCGAAAUAUAAAGGUCUUCGGUUUCUUGUACGAUGCUCAAAUCCGUUUUCGGAGAUUUUACGACGUCCGCCGUGCGCCUCCAGGCGGAAACGAAGCUAACGUCCGUUUCUUUAAUAACUUUGUACCGGCUCGACGAAUCGCCGAACCGUCGCUUCCAACGCGUUCUAGACCUAACAUAUAGGUAAACAGAGGUUAAAAGAGAUCAAACCCACAUACUUUGAAAUUUAGCAAUUUUGAGCCUAGGUUUAUAACUAUGCAAGAAAUCAUUAAAUUGCUCUAUGAUUCAAGCAUACGCAUCUAUUAGGCAUCAAUGGGUUCCAACUAAAAUCAUUUCCAAAGCAUUUAGACCUAUCUUUAGAGAUCUACCAUUAAAGCCCUCAUUUUGAGAGGCUCUAGGUUUCAAUAGGUAAAAAUCCACGAUUAGAACUUAGGAUCUAAGCAUAAAUCAUCAUACUUAGCAUCUAGGAAAGCUACUAAUAUCAUUUCUAGAGCUUAAAACCCAAGCAAUAGAGAAAUGCUCAUUAAAGCUCUUAAAGCUUACCUUCAAGCAUGCUCCAAUGAGAGGAAGAAGAUGAAAUUGAUGAAGAUCAACUCCAACUUACUUCUCCACAAUCCAUUCCAUUUGGGAGAGAUUUAGAGAGAGAAAAUGGAGGCUUCUCUUUCUCCCUCUUUCCAUGCGUGUGUUGUGUGGCGUGUGCGUGUGUGGUGUGCGGCCGAAGGAGAUGAAGAAGCAUCAAGUCUCUUAAUAAUACCACCUCAAUAUCAUCUAGGCAACUAAAAAUUGAUAACUUCUCGCCGGAGCUCCCUGAAUGUCGUUUGACGCUCAAACUGACAGUCAUGUUCGGUGUUUACUUAGCAACUUAAACAGCUGACGAUCACUGUUUCAGUUUCGACCUCGUUGUGUCACUGAAAACUGUACGAACUGCAAUCUUUAUCAGAUAGCUUUCGGAUUUUAUUUCUCACUCAACGGUGUCGAAAAUAUGAAACCUUAAAAUCUAGCCUCAUAAAAAUAUUUCUGACUUCUCUCUGCCAAUUUUCAUAAUUUUCUGAGACUGUGCAUUUUCUGCUAUUUAUCUGCCCCUUUCCAACAGAAAAUUCUAAAUCUUCUGUUUUAAUUCCGAUUUCAGCACAGGUCAUUCCCACUUAUAUUUCACUUCUCUAAUUCAAUAAAAAUAGUAAUCUCAAACUAUUUUUAUUUAUUUCUAUUUUUAUAUUUAAAUCCGGUAUAUUACAUUACACCGCAACCUUACCGGAACCAUUCAAAUGGCUCUCCAACCAAAUGGACACCGUAACCUCAUGAUUUUAGAAGUCCGGUACCUUACAGUAGGUCUCGCUCAUUUGGUAAAAUAAUCCACUGCCACUAUCAGAAAUUUGUGUCCAGCCGAAGAGUUCGACUAAAUUUCUCCAAUUAAAUCCAUGGCCCACUCUCGAAAAGGCCAAGGUUUGAUAAUUGCAUACAUUUCAGAAGCUGGAACUCUCUGUAUAGAGCUAUGGAAUUGACAGUCCUGGCACCCCCUAGCAUAUUUUAUACAAUCUUCAUACAUAGUUGGCCAAUAAUAACCUUAGUGCCGAAUGGUUCACCUUAAUCUCUUCCUAGCUAAAUGUGCUCCACAUAAGCCUUCAUAGACUUCGCCCAUGACUAAUAAGUCUUCCUCAGGUCCUAGGCAUUUCAUCAACACCUCCUCGGUUCUUUUUUUGUAAAGUUGUCCACUUAAUAGACAAUAGCCGAGUUGUAGUGUACCGAAUCCUCGGUGCGCUAAACCGAACUUCAGUCAAAUUGACCGAACUAUGGUAAUGGACGCUUUAGAGAGGUCCGUUGAAUGUCCGAAUGCUUCGGAAUACUUUAUAAGGGUGCAAGGGACCUUGGAGAGCAAGAUGGAGAAUUUCCAAAAUUUUUGUAUUGGAAUUGCUCUUGGGGUCCGAACCCUGCUUGUAGGGUCUAGAUCCCGUACACGUGAAAACGUGGGUUUUGUCAAACCUUGUUGUGUGAGGGGCUAGGGUGAAAAUGUGCAAGUGGGAAGCCUUAUAUGAAGGUAUCAUGUUGUUUUUCCCUUAUUUCCCCUCACACCCUCACAUAAGAGAGAGUUUCUCUCUCUCUCUCUCUCUCUCUCUCUCUCUCUCUAAACCCCCCUCUCUCUCUAGGGUUUGCUCCAAAAGGUGGAGUAUAGUGGAGAGGAGUUUGCUUGGAGGUGAAGCUACCUCCUUCUACACCCUUGGCCAUGAAGAGAGCUUGAGUUUGAGGUAAGCCUUGUGAUAUUUCAAGGUUUAUGGUUAGAGUUUUGUAUAAAUCCCUUAGAAAUGAGUUUUACUGGAACCCUAGAUGAUUCUAAUCUAUGUUAUUGCAUAAAUUAUCAUGGGAUUUGGAUUUUAUGCGGGUUUUUAGGGUUCCAAAAGAGGGUUUUGUGGUUAGUGGGUUUUGAUCUCAAUUGAUCCUAUGUUUCCGCAAUUGAAGGUAAAACUGACGGAGGAUCACUUGGAUUGAGUUUACGUUGAGCCGGCGGUGGUCAAUUGGAAGAAAUUGUCAUUUUUGCUUCGUUUGCCGCAAUCGGAGAAAUAGAUGACCAUAAAUCGCGUUGCUUGGCUUCCCGCUUCGUGACGACGACACGAGGUGGGGGGUGCUAUCCGAAUUAGCCGAAUUUCAUUCUAUGUCUAAGUUUUAGUUAUAUUGAUCAUAUAUCGUCAUGCAUUAAGUUAUGUGGGAAGCCUAUGAGUUCUUGGUAAAUUUAUGCUUAGAGUGAGGGAUGAUGACCAUGUUGCAUGAUACUUGUAGGUGCAUUAUUUGCAUGAUGUUGAGAUAGAUGUAUAUAUGUGUAUGCAUGAGAUGCUAGAGGACAUAUGCAUGUUGACAUAUUGUGAGAAUAUGUUAGAUUCAUGUGAACCAGAUAUGUGGACUUAUAGUACUUGGACAUAUGUAUGUGGACAUAUUCUGAGAAUAUGCUAGAUAUGUGCAUGAGAUGUUAGAGGGCAUGUGUAUGUGGACAUAUUAUGAUAAUUGGAAAUUAUUGCAUAUGUAGCAUAUUCUCACUUAUGAGAAUUGUGAACUUAUGGCAUUAUGAGAACUAGUGAAGCAUCCCGCGCUUCGCAGCGGGUAGAUAUCACAAAAUAAUAAAAUUUUAUAUUUCAAUAUAAAAUUGUAAUAUUUAUUAUAAUAUAAAUUUAAUAUUUUCAGACAAAUAAUAAAUAGAAAUAAAAUUAAAUAUGUGAAAAAAUAUAAUCAUAUUUGGUUGGACGUAAAACCGAACAAAAUAAUUAUUUUUAGAAAAAAUAUUUAAAUUGAAAUUAAAAUUUUGAAGUGUUACAUAAUUGUCAAAUAGAAAAAUAAUCGAACAAAAAAAAAUAGUUCCCAAAUAAAAAAUUCUCGAAUCAUAAAAUUUUUAGAGUAAAAAUUUUAUUUUUUUUAGGAUGAAAUAGCUCUCAAAUACUUUAUUGAAAAAAUUGAGAAAAAAGGUAAAAAUAUUAUUAUUAUUAUUAUUUCACAUUAAAGUAUAAUGCAUUUCUAACUUCAGAAACUGUAAGUCAACUUCAAAGUGGAUCUGUUGUGCUAAGAGUGCGUUAUGAACCGUGGCCGCCUGCCUGCUUUGGUUGGUGGGGGCAGCACCUCCGUUGUGGGUAAACGGGAAACCCGACUCUACGAACCCGAGGAAAGGCUGCACAGCUUCCGUAGGGGUGUUAAGACCGGAGCUAAGCUGAUAAUAUAUUUUACACUUAAUAUAUUAUUAUGACUAAAAUUAGAAUUAGAAAUAUUUGUUUACUCUACUCUUCUCUUUCUUCAAAGGAGGAGGAUAAUUAAUAAGAAGAGAUUGAGCCUAAUUAAUCUUGAACUCAAACGCCGCGCAUGUUCGCCGCUGACGCCACCCCCAAAGUAAAGAUCCUUUUUUAACAUUGGAAUCACAAUUGGGAAAAAAAAGAAAAAGAAAACAAAAAAUCAACCAAACAACACACUUUAGCAGAGUUAUUCAAUAAAAAUAUUUAAUCUCAUAAAACAUAAAAUAACAAAUAUUUAAAGAAGGGAAAGAAAGAAAAAGAAAAAGAAAACAAAAAAUCAACCAAACAACACACUUUAGAAGAGUUAUUCAAUAAAAAUAUUUAAUCUCAUAAAACAUAAUAUAACAAAUACUACUUCAUCAUCAGUGCCAAAAAUUAAAUGCAAGUCCAAAGGAUUAGCAAGUAUUAUUUCUUAUAAACCUCAUCAACACAAUAGUUCAGAUAUUUUUACAGAGCUUCAGAACAAAAGUAACCUAAAUCUAACAAAUAUUUUACCUUUUGUUCCCCUAAAUGGAGCUCAUAGAAGCUAAUACAACUAAAGAUUCCUUUUUUUACAUUGAAAUCACAAUUGGGGGGAAAAAAAAAAGAAAAAUCAACCGAACAAUACACUUAAGCAGAGUUAUUCAACAAAAAUAUUUAAAGGGCACUUCACAAAUCAUCAAAAAAUUUUAAAAAAAAUUCAAAACCCAUGAAAGAGGAGAUAAAACACAACAGAUCUACAGCAUAAAGUUGAGAUCUUUAGCUAGCAACAUCAAAAAGAUCAGAUGUAAGGGAAGUGAAUUCUCGAAACUCGAGGAUUAGACUUCGUCAAGAAUCGACUGAUUGUCGAGCGUGCGAGCUUCGGAGAGUCCGAAGAUGGUCAUAAUGCAUAAAGUGCAUUGAGGGAAUGUCCGCGAGAGUACCAGUGCAAAAGCAGCACUGGAGCAGAAAUGCUCUCGGGGACCGGUCCCUGGCAGGGAGGGACCGGUUCCAUCGGGCUGGGCUGCGGGGGUCUCUGAUGAGACCGGUCCCUGGCAGGCAGGGACCGGUUCCCGAACGUUGGCCCAGCGAGAGAAGCCGAAAUUUGGCUAAGUCCCGAAAGUGUUGCUCUCGGGAACCGGUCUCUCGGACAAGGACCGGUCUCCCGGGGACCGGUCUCUCAGGCAAGGACCGGUUCCCGAACGCGAAAUGUAAUAUACCGAAAAUUCGGAAAAUAAAUGUCGAACUUUAGUCAAAUUGACCAAAGUGCGAGGAUGGUACACUUCGGAAAGUCCGAAGGUAUUAAAAUGAGUAAAAGUGAGUUAUGGGAGGUUUUCGAGAGCUAAAGAAUCAAAUUCUGCAAAACUGCAGAUUUUGAGCUCUCGGGGACCGGUCCCUGGUGGGAGAGACCGGUCCCCGAACGCGUAUGAUGUGAGACAGCCGAAAAAUCGGCUAAGUCCUGAGGAGUUAGCUCUCCGGAACCGGUCUCUGUCUGAGAGACCGGUCCCCCGGAGACCGGUCCCACAAGGAGAGACCGGUUGCACUGCGCGCAGUAGCUCUGGCUGCGCUGGGACGACGUUCGGGAACCGGUCCCUGAAGGAGAGACCGGUCCCUGCCUGCGCGAUCCGCCCAGUUCGGGCAGUGUAUUAAAGUGAAAGUUGAGGGGUUUAGCUGCAAUUUUGCAACCCAAUAGGCUAUGUAUUAGGGUAAAUGAGAGAUUUCUCUCAUUUCUACCCUCUCAUUCCCUCUCAUCCCUCUUUCUCUCUCUAGAAGACAAAGAAGGAGAAGAAGAAGACAAGGAAAGGAGGGAAAAGAAGGAAAAGAAAAAGGAGAAGAAGAAGAGGAAGUGAAGAAAACCUCUCCUCUCCUUCUCUAGCUUGGAAAAGGAGCAAGUUUAAAGGUAAGCCUUGCCCCUUCUCAUGCUAAAUUCCAAACUAGGGUUUGGAUUAACCUAGAAAUGGUUUUAAGGGAGUAUUUGAAGGGUUUUGAAGCUUUCUUUUGCUUCUUAAGAGAUCAAAACCUAGAUUUGCUAUAGAGGUAAGCUUGGACCACCUCUAAUGGUGAAAUCUAAUCUAGGGUUUUGGAAAGCCUAAAAAUGGUUCUAAUGGACUAAUUAGAGUAUAAUGAAGCUACUUUUGCUUCUCUUUGAGAUCAAACCCUAGGUUUGACAUUGUGUAUUGGAGCUAGGGACACAAUUGGGCUUUUGCUCAUGAGGGUUUAUAAGUGCAAUUGACCUUUAGAACUAAUUGGGGGUAUUCCGACGCGUUGGUGCGCUGCAUUAACGUUACGAAAAACCGGAUGAAAGUUAUGGGCAAAAUGGCUAAGUUGCUUCGUUUUGCCGCAGGUAAAGAAGAAGGAUCUAAAAAUCCCGAGAAAAAUGUCGGAGCACUAAAGAGACCUACGAAGUGGUGUGGCUUUUCAAAACAUUGAAAUUUCUCUAUGCCUAAUGUGCAUCUCUUUGAGCAUAUGUUCUAUAUAUUGUUAUUGCAUUUUAGGUAAAGUAAUGAUAAUGUAUGAUUGCAUGAUUGUGAGCACAAAUGCAUAAUGAGAUGGUUGAGAACCUAAUAAUGUAGAACCCUAGAUGUGUGAGAUAAAAUGUGAGUACACAAAGUGAGCAAUAAGAACAGAGUGGCACAUGACAUAGAUCGAGUGCAUUUGAAAAUGUAAAGUAAGAGACACUAAGAUAGUGUGAGUAAAGACGCAAUUAAUGUAAAGAAUGCUGAAAUGAUAAUGCUUAAAGUUAACGCAACUGGGGAAGUAAAGAAGUGAAAAUGCUAGAGUACCAAAAGUAAAGAAUGUAAAGAUAUAAUACUAGAGUUAGCAAAAGUAAAGAAAUGUAAAGAAUGAUUGCAUGAGUUUGCAACAUGAAGUGAUAUAAUGAACACUAGAGCUGUGUAAAGUCAAUGAUUGAACUUAUAGUAUUUGAUUAAGGAUAUGAUCAUGCUUGCUAUGAGUUCCGUGCUCGAGGCGUGUCCCCUCGAGCGAUGCGCUCGAGUUAUGAGCUCGGGUGGAGUAAACCGACGGCGGUCCUAGCUGGUGAGAUUCUGCGAUGAGGACUUAAUAGUGUAAGCAAGUUAAUGUGGCGAAGCCCCCGGUUAGCUUAAUGAUUAAAGAACAAAGAACAAAGAACAAAGAGCAAAGAAUAAAGCACAAAGCACAAAGUAAGUCAACAGAAUUUAAAGAAUUUGCAUAAUCUGCAUUUAUUUAAUGUGAGCAUACUUCUUCUUAUUGUUCAGGCAUAUUAGCAUCAUGUAUAUAGAUUGGUUAUAUACAGCUUAUUCUUUUACUAUGCCUGAGUUAGACCUAGUGGGAAAGUCGGUGAUGUUGAGGCCGAACCCACUGGGAACUUUGUUGUAGUUCUCACCCCACUAUUUCCACAGAGCCGGGACCGAGCGAGCCGGCGAGCGACCGAGGUAAAGGUAUCGCGCCUUAGUAAGAGGCCACCAAAGUUGGGUACAUUUUGUUAGCAAACACGCUUUUGUCAUCUUUUGUAUUUGAUGAUUAGCAAUGUGAAGAAAAGAAUGUAAAGCUUAUUUUGAGGUAAACGUGAUGUAAGAAAGAAAUGAUGGAAUUAUGUAAUGAAAUGUAAAGAAUCCUAAAUGUAACAGAUGGAUGCAAUGUAUAUGAUCUAAUAUGAAUCAUAGUACUUGUGUAGAAGUUUAGUUUUCCUAUCUUUCACUAAUGGCUACGGCUUACCCUCGUGUAAGCCGUUUGUGUAUGUUUCCGCUAGUGCAAUUCUUGUUUGAAUUUUGCACAUGUGAUGAGCCUUGGGCGGACAGGGGAAACUCUGUCCGUUCGGCGUCUGUUUGACGUGCUCGGGUCGGGCCAAAUUGGCAUCGGUCUCGGGGCGUGACACGAAAUCCCCUCUGCCUGUUGUGUAGCUUUCGGGGACCGGUCUCCCCGAGCAGGGACCGGUCCCUCACUGCGAAAAUAGCCCAGGGAGGGCUGUUUCAAGAAGUGAAAAGUUGAGGGGUUUAUUUGCAAAGUGGCUUAUAAGAGAGGCUAUGGGACCCCUCUCUCUCUCAGUUGCCCUUUUCCUCUCUCACACUCUUUCCCUCUCUCUCUCUAGAAAGGAAAAGAAGGAGAAGGAGAAGAAGAAGAAGGAGAGGAAGGAAAAGAAGGAGAAAGAGAAGGAGAAGACUAAGAAGAAGAAGAAGAUCGUCUUCUUCUCUCCCUCUUCAAGCUUGGAGCUUGGUAUUGAGGUAAACCUCAAACCCUUUAAUGGCGGAUUUUGGAAGCUAGGGUUUUAUAGCUUGGAAUUGGUUCAAGUGGAACCUAUUGAAGCUAGGGAGAAGGUUCGAGCUCGAAAUCGAAGCUCGCACCGCGGAUUUCUCCAAUGUCGAGAUCUAGGGCUUCGAUUUGGGAUUUUGGCAAAUCUAGGGUUUUGAUCUAAUUUGAAUGGUCGCAAACCUAAUUGCUAGGUCCCUGAACGUGUAGGCGGAGACAGUUCGUCGAUCCGUCGAGUAGGUGCGAAGUUAUCGCCAAGAAGACCUUCGGAGCUUCGUUCUCGCCUAGAAGGCCAACGAGGCGUCGAGACAUCGGCGAAUCGCAAUCGAAGAGUCACGGCAUCACCACGAGGUGGGGGAGUGCCAUCCCGAAGCAGUCGGGCUGCUCUUUAUGUCUGAGUAUCAUUAUUGAUCAUUUACAUAUUGCGAUAUAGCAUUAUAGGGUGUUAAAUGUGAUUGUGCAUAUCCUUGCAUGCUAGUGAUGUUUUAGGUUGUGGAUACCAUGAAUGAAAACCUAGUAUGCAUGAGUUAAAUAUUAUGAGAUAGUUCACCCUAUAUAUGAUGAAUAUGUUUAUGUGAAUAUGAACCUAGUGUAUUAGAAACUAGUGUAUCAAGAACUUGUCAAGAGAACGAGUGGCAUCUAGUUAAUCUUAAACAUUGAACGAGUGGCAUUAAGUAGUGCAAGAGCGGCAUGAGGACAUUAGUAUAGUGAGAUACUAUGUUGCUAUCACCCCUGGUUGGUUAGGGUGUUCCCAGUUCAUGAGAUUGGAUCGAGCUCACUUAGCCUGUCUGCACCUGUGGAAGUAGCUCCUCACAGGUAGUGCACUCCGGAGUUUGGCACGCGAGGGGGCCAGUGUAGUGCCCUUGGACCAGUGUAGUGUCUGCAGGCGGUCUCGGGGUAGGUGAAUAGCUAGCCACCUCUCCUAUGAGACUUAGAGACGUGAGACUGUGAGCGGGCCUUGCGUUCGCCGAGAGAUUGCGUUCGCCGAGAGAUUGGGUAAUCAGAUGAGUGACCUUGUUGUUGAACAUGGUAGUGAGACAGCCAGCAUUCUUACCAUGAGUUGUGCAUGCAUUUCAUUAGAUUGAGGCAUUGAUAGAUCAUAGUUGUUUAUUACUGUUACUGCUUUCAGUUUAUGUAUCUAUCUAUCUGCAUAUCUAUCUGUGCCUGCUUAAGACCUAGUGGGGAGAUCGGCGGAGUCGGCGGCCGAACCCACUGGGAACUAUUCGUAGUUCUCACUCCACCACAUUGCAGGUCCGAGCUCGAGCGUCCCCGGUGAGGAUCGCGGCAAGGGCGUAGCGCCCUAGUGACAUUGGUAGAGGCUACUUCCUUUAUGCAUUAGUUACACCCUGUACCUAUUUUGAGAGUAGACGAUGUAUAGGGUGAGAUUUUGAGUGGAUUGUAUCUACAUUUUGUAUAAAUGUAAAGAAUGGAUAAUUGUAUAAGUUAAUGAGUUAAUAGUUAAGUACAUCUCUCUUUUAUCACUUGUAUGCCUUACAUGUGUUGCUUGCUCUUGUUUGGUAAGCACUGGUUGUGCUCUCGUAAUUGUUGUGGUUGGUUGAUUGUGUAUGUAUCCAAGUUGUUCCUGGGAACUUGUUGUACACAAUCUAGUGGUUGAGCCUUGGGCGGACAGAGGAGGUGCUGUCCGUUCGGCGGUCCGCUCGCCGCGCCCGAAUCGUGCCAAAUAGGUAGCGGACUCGGGGCGGGGCGUGACAUCAGAACUUCCACACAGAUCAAGAGAUUUGUAAUGGCAAAACCCUAAAAUUUGCCGUAAAAUUGCAUGAUUCAAAAUUGGUAACCUGGAAAAGGGGAAAAAUACUCUAAAAAAAGGAGCUUUUUUUUUUGCAGAAACAAAAUUUAAUCUGUAGAUAAGGAGCAAUUAAAGGGUGAGAGAGAGAAGGAGAGGGAAAAAAUAUAUACCUAAAAUGAAAAUUUUAUCUAAGAAGCUCAAAAUACCUACCCUAAAAUGGAGAGAGAGAGAGAGAUAUAUAUAAAAGAGGGUCGAAAUUAACCGCCACCGCCGGCACCGCCCAAGCCACCAUCACCAUUGCACGCAAGAAGUUAGAAAAAAAAGGGCAAAAGUGAGAAGAAGAAGAAGAAGAAGAAGAAGAAGAAGAGGAAGUUACAGAGAAUAAGAAAAAGAGAAGGAGAAGACUAAAAAAAGAAGAAGAAAAAGAAGAAAUUCCUCUACUCUUCACUGUCCUCCCUCUCUCCCUCUAUCUCUCUCAAGGGAACUAUUUCUGGAUGUGAUUCUCCACCAUCUCUCCACCAUAACCUUGAAAUAAUCUGAUUAGAAAGAGGAAGAACCUAUUAAACGAUAGAGAAUUAUUUUUUUUUUAAAAAAUGGUUCAUCGUUGCUGACUACUGUAAUUAAUCCUAAUUAUUUAAUCAAUAGCCAGCUAACACCACAUAUAUAUUAAUAAUAAUAAUAAUAAUAAUAGUAAUAGUUAAUUAUUUAAUUUAAAAAAAAGAACGGGGUUAAAAGAAAUUAGUGGGCUGGGUGAACGUACCAGGAAGGAGAGGAAGGAGGAGUAGAGGACGAUGCGGUAUCGGCCAAGCCAGAAGUCGGCGACGACUACGCCAACGGGCGCGAGCGUGGACGCGGCGCCCGACCACGCGUUCUCGUUGGCCGCGCCCGCCGCCGUCGACUCCCGCAGCGGGCGCCCGACCGCGCGUUCUCGCUGGCCGCGCCCGCCGCCGUCGACUCCCGCAGCGGGCGCCCGACCACGCGUUCUCGCUGGCCGCGCCCGCCGCCGUCGACUCCCGCAGCGGACGCCCGACCACGCGUUCUCGUUGGCCCCGCCCACCGCCGUCGACUCUCGCAGCGGGCCCGUCAGGUAGCUUAUCAGGGAGAGAUGGGGGGCUAAGACAGAGAGGAGAGGAGAGAGAGAGAGGAGAGGAGAGAGAGAGAGAGUGAGAGGAGGAGAGAGAGAAAGAUGGUAGGGAAAGGAGGAGAGAGAGAAAGAGGGGGCCAGCUNGAGAGAGAGAGAGAGAGAAAGUGAGAGGAGGAGAGAGAGAAAGAUGGUAGGGAAAGGAGGAGAGAGAGAAAGAGGGGGCCAGCUGUAUGAGAGAAAAGAAAGAGGGGCCCACCUUAAGAGAGGAAGAGAAAGAUAGGAGGGGAGAGAGAGAGAGAGGGGAAGAGAUAGAAAUAGGUUAGGAAGGAAGAGAGAGAAUGCCAGGUGGAGGUGAAGUGAGGAGAGAGAGGCUCGGGUAUGAGGCUGGAGGAAGAGAGAGAAGGGGGUAGGAGAAUAGGGAAGAGAGAGAAAGGGCCAGCCGUAGAGGUGGGGCGAGAGGACUCGUCGCCACGUGGAAUAGAGAAUAGAGAGGCAUGCCACAUAGGAUUUGUAGAAAGUGUCAAAUAGUAUAGUUAAUAGAUUGGGAUGUGGGAUUCCCUGAGGUCCUCGGGCGGGAGGACUUGAGCAUAUGCAUAUGAGGCCGACUUUGAGCAUUACAUGCCUUGUGAUGGUUUGGGAUGUGGGAUUCCCGCGGUCCUCGGGCGGGAGGACUAUGAUCAUACUCGCGUCGUCUGUUGUGGUUUGAGGAGGUCACGCCUCCCAGGCUGUGUGUCACGCCCCGCGACCCGCCAAUUUGGUCGGAUCUGGGCACGUCGAACAGACGCCGGACGGACAGCACCUCCCCUAUCCGCCCAAGGCUAAACAACAACAAUAUCAUGUACAAGAGUUGCCCAAAAAAAAAACUCAUUCAACAUACAUGAUACAUGCAAGUGUAAGAAGCACCACAAGUGCGAUACAAUUAAGAGCAAGAAUCACAAGUAACGUAUAAGUGAAAUAAAGAGAGAUAGUUCUAGCUAUUACAUCACAUUCAACAUUUACAUUUUGAUUGCAUUCUUUUCAUCUACCAAAAUGAAUACAUAUUCUUCUCAUAAUACAAAAUGGCUCUCCAACUAGCACCCUCACCAAUAUACAAUACAUAUCACUCAUGUACACGAGGGUACUCUAAUGCAAAAUGAAAGCCGCUAGCUAAUUAGGGCGCUAUGCCCUUACCGCGAUCAACUGCCGGUACGCUCUCACUAGGCCCUGCAACAAAGUGGGGUGAAAACUAUAUGAAUAUAGUUUCCAGUGGGUUCGGUUGCCGACUCCACCGAUCUUCCCACUAGGUCUAAGAAGGCAUAAGCCGAUAGAUAGAUAGAUAGAUAUGAAAUUGAAAUGCAACAUAAUAAAAUAAUCUGCAACAUUCUACUAUGCCUUCAACAAUCCAAUGUAUGAGCUACUACACAGUAUGCAAUCUACACAUGCGACUAUGCCUCAACAAUCCAAUGUAUGAGCUACUACAUAGUAUGCAAUCUACACAUGCAACUAUGCCUCAACAAUAAAGAAAUGAGCUACUACAUAGCAUGUGUCCUCUACUAACAUGAUACUAUGCCUCAAUAAUCCAAUCUCAUGGCUAACUCGAAGGUUGCUGCCCCGACUCACAUCUCAAAUCUCACUAGUGGGGAGACUCUGUGCUACACCCACCUGAGACCCAUCUGUAGGACAACUAUGUCUGUGUAACAUAUCACAUCCCUCGUAAAUCGUGCCGAGUUCCGUCGAAAUGAGCGGAAUGCGGAGUGGAACAAGUUGAUAUGGGCUAGUGGUGCUUUGGAGCCCUUAUAUUGUAAGGAAGUGAAUUCUCGAAAACUGAGGAUUGUACUUCGCCCAGGAUCGACUAACUGUCGAGAGUGUACCUUUUGUGGGAGUUGGAGAUGUCCAAAACACAAAAAGUGCUUUGGAGUUGAGUCUGCGAGAGCAAAUAGGCAAAAUCUGGACUCAGCAGAUUUUUGCUCUCGGGGACCGGUCCCUGGAGGGAAGGACCGGUCCUCGUAGCUGAUGGUCGCGGGGGAGGUCGAUGCGACCAGUCCCUGGUUGAGGGGACCGGUCCUCGUGCGCGACACCCGCGGGAGAAAGCCAAAAUUUGGCUAAGUCCUGAAGGUUCCCUGUUCGGGAACCGGUCUCUUAGGAGAGACCGGUCUCCCAGGAACCGGUCCCUCAGGUGAGGACCGGUUCCCGAACGCGAAAAGUCCCCAGACUGCAGGGAGAGCUCUCGGAGACCGGUCUCCCCGACCAGGGACAGGUCCCUCUGGGCGAAAACUGCCCAGUGAGGGCUGUGCAAUGGUUGAAAAGUUAAGGGGUCUAAAUGCAAAAUGGCCUUUAUUAGAGUAGGCUGGGCCCUCUAUUUCCCUCACAGCCUCUCAUUCUCUCUCUUUCUCACACUCUCUCUUGCUCCCUCUCUCUCUCUCUAGGAAAGAAAGAACAAAAGAGAAGGAGAAGAAGAAAGAGAAGAAGAAGAAGGAGGAGAAGAAGAAGAAGGAGGAGGAGAACAAGAUAGAGAAGGCUUGGAGCAUCUUCCUCUCUUUCUCUCCUCUCCAUUGGUGUAGCUUAAGAGGUAAGCUACAAACCCUAGCUUGUAGAACUUGGGGUUUUGGGUUUUUAUGCCUUGGAAUGGGUCAAAUGGACCCUAAGCUUGCUUCUAAAUAGAUCAAUCCCAAGAAUAUAGGGAUUUAUUGGAUGGUUUGCUAUAGGUGCAAACCUAGGGCUCCAAAAUGGGGUUUUUGUGAAAGCAUGAGAUUGAUCUCAUUUGAAGCCUUGGAAAUCCUAUUGUUAGGUCACAAAACGUGGGGGCGAAGUCGAUUUCACGAUUCCGCUAGUGGAUUGGGAGCUAUCGGCGAAAUACGGCCGAUUUAGCCUUAUUUUUGGACCAAGAAGGCCGAGCCCUCGUCGUAAGGCUCGCCGAGGAGCGUUUCUAAAGCCUCUACAUCGAUAAAAGGUGGGGGGGUGCCAUCCCGAAGCUUUCGAACUCCUUUCUAUGUCUUAGAUUGCAUUUAAUCUUAUCUCUUUAUGUUGCAUUGUAGGAUUGCAUAGUAGCACCAGUCCUUAUGCUUUCUAAAUGAUAAUCUAGUGUACUUGGAACGCUUGGUAACUUAGAUAGGUGAGGAUUGGGUCGGAACGUGGAUCCUAUGAUGCGAAAGAUAGAGAUGAACCCGAUGGGGGUGUUGAUGACAUAGAAAGUAGUGUUAUUGUUAAAGAACAAACGAGUGGCAUCCAAAUGUUAAUUAAUGACGAGUGGCAUUAAUGUAGUGUAAAUGACACUAGAGGUCGAUGGACCUAGGGAUAGGUGGAUCCCUUAGAAAAUACCUUGUGAACAAUGAAUUUAGAAAAGCUAAAUAGCAUUGCAUGAGUGUCGGGAACAAAUGACCCCGCGAGAAAUGUUGACUCUAGUUGUAGAGCAUCCUCACUUGGAGAGGAUUUGAUUGGGUUGUGGACCCUAGUUAUAGUGCAUCCUCACUUGGAGAGGACUUGAUUGAGUUGUUGACCCUAGAUGUAGGGCAUCCUCACUUGGAGAGGAUAGAUCUAGCUCACAGUCUGCGUUUGGGAUGGUAUAGCCAUCCAAUCCCCACAUGGAGGGGAUUGUCGUCGAGUACUCCGGAGUGUCGCGCGACUAGGACCACUUGGAGGUCCGGACCACAUGGAGGUCCGCAGACGGUCCCGGGCUUGGGUGCACUUGGAGCUCCCUCCCCACAUUGGGAUUGAAAGGUGAGUCAUGGGCGAGCCCAAGGGCCUCGCCACAGAUUGGGUAACUGAAAGGUUAAAGGUUUAACAAUGUCAUUGAACAUUUCCAUUCGAACAUGGAUCGAAUUUGUUAGCAUGGUAGCAAACUUUUAUUAUAUGAUGCAUGCAUUCAUACUCAUGAUUAUGGGUAUAGUAGUAUAGUUUUCCUACUAUCGCAUUUACAUUUUUCAGAUACAUAUCUAUCUAUCUAUCUGUUGUUACUUGUGCCCACUUGGACCUAGUGGGGAGAUCGGCAGAGUCGGCGGCCGAGCCCACUGGGAACUAUGGAAGAUAGUUCUCACCCCACUCUAUUUCCAGUGGUAGGUUCAGGGCUGCAGAGAGAGGACCGCGGCAAGGGCAUCGCACCUGACCAGUGAGACCGUGAUAGUAUAGUAGCUUUACUUUUUGCAUUAGUCACCUAUGUAUUGAGAGGGAGAUUUAUUGUAGGUGAGGAUCUGGAGAGCUAUGUAUUUUGGAGAUGAAAAAUGUACUCAUUUAAAGAACAUGAUGUAAAUAAAAAUGAUGGAACUAAUGUAUUAGUUAGCAAGGUACUCUCUUUAUUUCACAUGCUUUAUCUUGUGGAUUACUUGCUCUUUGUAUUGUUGGCACUGUUUGUGCCCUUGUGAAUGUGUAUGUUUAGAAUUUAAUUUCCUGGGUAAAUUCUUGUACACAUCCUUGUUGUUGAGCCUUGGGCGGACAGGGGAGGUGCUGUCCGUUCGGCGGCCCGCCGCUGCGGCCGAACCGUGCCAAAUUGGUAGUGGUUUCGGGGCGGGGCGUGACAGCCUUUGUGGUAUCAGAGCAAUAAGAGCAAGUAAAGAGAGAGUUUAGGAUGACCUAGGAGACCCUAAGUUGGUAAGCCCUAAGGUUAUAGGUGCGUGAGCGGAACGUGAACCUAUAGUGAUGGCGGAAGUUGAUUCGAUUGGGUCGAAGUUGGUAAUAUGUCUCUAGUUGUGAUUAGAGACGGAUUCAAGUGGUAUGAGUU